rnacentral:lncRNA from 1 species
ACUUAAGCUAACCUAUUUAGACCAAUUAACCUAUUAGUGUCUUAGAUAAGUAAUUGAGAAAUAAUUAUUUAAUUAAUUUUAUUCACUUACUUGAUCAAUUUAUUGAUGUCUAAAGAAAGCAACAGGGGGAUUUCUAUCGAUCUCCACUUAUCUAGUCAAUUUGGAAGAUUGAGUCUUAUAUAAGGUUGUUUGACGGUUUGGUUUAGCCCAUGCC